rnacentral:rRNA from 1 species
UAGGGAAUCUUCCACAAUGGACGCAAGUCUGAUGGAGCAACGCCGCGUGAGUGAAGAAGGUUUUCGGACCGUAAAGCUCUGUUGUUGGUGAAGAAGGAUAGAGGUAGUAACUGGCCUUUAUUUGACGGUAAUCAACCAGAAAGUCACGGCUAACUACGUGCCAGCAGCCGCGGUAAUACGUAGGUGGCAAGCGUUGUCCGGAUUUAUUGGGCGUAAAGCGAGCGCAGGCGGAAGAAUAAGUCUGAUGUGAAAGCCCUCGGCUUAACCGAGGAAUUGCAUCGGAAACUGUUUUCUUGAGUGCAGAAGAGGAGAGUAGAACUCCAUGUGUAGCGGUGGAAUGCGUAGAUAUAUGGAAGAAUACCAGUGGCGAAGGCGGCUCUCUGGUCUGCAACUGACGCUGAGGCUCGAAAGCAUGGUAGCGAACAGGAUUAGAUACCCUUGGUAGUCCAUGCCGUAAACGAUGAGUGCUAAGUGUUGGGAGGCUUCCGCCUCUCAGUGCUGCAGCUAACGCAUUAAGCACUCCGCCUGGGGGAGUACGACCGCAAGGUUGAAAC